CUACCUGCAGUCGGACGGUAGCACAGAGAGCUUGCUCUUGGGUGACGAGUGGCGGACGGGUGAGUAAUGUCUGGGGAUCUGCCCGAUAGAGGGGGAUAACCACUGGAAACGGUGGCUAAUACCGCAUAACGUCGCAAGACCAAAGAGGGGGACCUUCGGGCCUCUCACUAUCGGAUGAACCCAGAUGGGAUUAGCUAGUAGGCGGGGUAAUGGCCCACCUAGGCGACGAUCCCUAGCUGGUCUGAGAGGAUGACCAGCCACACUGGAACUGAGACACGGUCCAGACUCCUACGGGAGGCAGCAGUGGGGAAUAUUGCACAAUGGGCGCAAGCCUGAUGCAGCCAUGCCGCGUGUAUGAAGAAGGCCUUCGGGUUGUAAAGUACUUUCAGCGGGGAGGAAGGCGGUGAGG
rnacentral:rRNA from 1 species